rnacentral:rRNA from 1 species
AUUGAACGCUGGCGGCAUGCCUUACACAUGCAAGUCGAACGGUAACGCGGGGCAACCUGGCGACGAGUGGCGAACGGGUGAGUAAUGCAUCGGAACGUGCCCAGUAGUGGGGGAUAGCCCGGCGAAAGCCGGAUUAAUACCGCAUACGACCUAAGGGUGAAAGGGGGGGAUCGCAAGACCUCUCGCUAUUGGAGCGGCUGAUGUCAGAUUAGGUAGUUGGGGGGGUAAAGGCCUACCAAGCCGACGAUCUGUAGCUGGUCUGAGAGGACGACCGGCCACACUGGGACUGAGACACGGCCCAGAUUCCUACGGGAGGCAGCAGUGGGGAAUUUUGGACAAUGGACGCAAGGCUGAUCCAGCCAUGCCGCGUGCGGGAAGAAGGCCUUCGGGUUGUAAACCGCUUUUGUCAGGGAAGAAAUCUUCUGGGUUAAUACCUCGGGAGGAUGACGGUACCUGAAGAAUAAGCACCGGCUAACUACGUGCCAGCCGCCGCAGUAA